UUAACUAUCCAGUUCAACAAUGCCUUAUUGUGUGAUUAAAGAUUGCAGAGAUAGGAAUGCAUCUUUUCACGCCUUGCCAAAAGAUCCAAGUCUCCGAUAUGUCUGGAGCGAUAUAGAAAAACAAAACGGUGCGCAGUUAGAAGUAUCAAAGGUGACAAGAUUGUGCAGUACACAUUUUACCCGAUUCAUUCUACAAUUAUGAACAGAAGAGGAUGGGUUUUGCCAAGACAACGUUUCUAAAGCCAGAUGCUGUGCCAACUAUCAAUCAAGGUCAAGAUAAGAAAGUGGAGCCAGAGCCUAUGGACCCCUCUAAGGAUUCAGACACCUUGACAGAGUGCCUCCCUGUGUGAUACAAUCUCUGACGGGGUUGGCAUGCCUUAACCUCAAGUAUCUUUGAGAAUUGUUAGCAUUUGGGAGGAUGAAGCACUCAAGAGUUCACGGGUCAAAUUCCUGUUAUGGCAUGCCAUCCUGGGAAUGUUCAUUUCUGUGCUUUUGAAGAUGGCGUUUUGAAUCCGUACCUCUUCUACGACCCCAGUUAUUGUGUUCAGUAUAUUAUGAGCUCAUUUCAUGAAAACCGAACAAUAUUCGUUACUUUGGGAAAGUUAUCAAAUAUUUCUUACCCAUGUAGUGGUGGCUUUGUUACCUGGCUGUUUAUCCUGUCAAUGAGUUGUCGGUAUUCAUAAUCUGGCAUGAAUCUGGAAUUCACAUGAAAUUAAAUGAAAUAAAAGAAAUUAAUCCGGUGAAGUUGAAGAUUGAAUUCUUUCCUGAUGUCUAAGGAGAAAUAUUUAGGCCUCUGCCAUACUGACCGUCAAACCCCGGCUUAGACAGGAAAAUAGCCGUAUGUUUGUCCUGUAGGCAUUGUGUGCUCCACGACAAAAGCUUUCAUUUUAUUUAUUGGAACCCUUUUGCAGUGCCAUAUGUGAUUAUAGAUCUGAUAGAUCAUACAUGAAGAAUAUUUUGAAUGCAUCCCUGCAUACAUGUACUGUAAGGUCACAUAACUUUCUUUGUCACAGUCUAUGUCACUGAAAAGAUUUGAAUCAUUAUGAUGUAGUGCCAUCAUCCCAACAAAGAAAAAUCAAGACAGAAGACACCAUUUUUUAGUUGAUUAAAACUCCUUGAACGCAUGUACUGAUGCAAUUAUACUGAUAGAGGCAAGGAGAUGUGUGCGUUGUGACUUUCCCAGGAUGCAGACCAACGAUUUUGACCUUGGGCUCAGUUUCUUGCUUGAUUCAUUGACGGAUGGAAUAA